rnacentral:rRNA from 1 species
UGCCAGACUCCUACGGGAGGCAGCAGUGGGGGAUAUUGCACAAUGGGGGAAACCCUGAUGCAGCGACGCCGCGUGAGGGAAGACGGUUUUCGGAUUGUAAACCUCUGUCUUUGGGGACGAAUUGAGACGGUACCCAAGGAGGAAGCUCCGGCUAACUACGUGCCAGCAGCCGCGGUAAUACGUAUGGUGCAAGCGUUAUCCGGAUUUACUGGGUGUAAAGGGAGCGCAGGCGGCACGGCAAGCCUGAUGUGAAAGCCCGCGGCCCAACCGCGGGACUGCAUUGGGAACUACCGGGCUGGAGUGCCGGAGAGGUAGGCGGAAUUCCUAGUGUAGCGGUGAAAUGCGUAGAUAUUAGGAGGAACACCAGUGGCGAAGGCGGCCUACUGGACGGUGACUGACGCUGAGGCUCGAAAGCGUGGGGAGCAAACAGGAUUAGAUACCCCCGUA